UCCCUGGUGGCUCAAAUGGUAAAGAAUCUGCCUGCAAUGCAGGAGACUCAGGUUCAGUUCCUGGAUGGGGAA
rnacentral:tRNA from 1 species